UACGUAGGGAGCGAGCGUUGUCCGGAAUUACUGGGCGUAAAGAGCUCGUAGGCGGUUUGUCACGUCGUCUGUGAAAUCCUAGGGCUUAACCCUGGACGUGCAGGCGAUACGGGCUGACUUGAGUACUGCAGGGGAGACUGGAAUUUCUGGUGUAGCGGUGAAAUGCACAGAUAUCAGGAAGAACACCGAUGGCGAAGGCAGCUCUCUGGGUAGUAACUGACGCUGAGGCACGAAAGCGUGGGUAGCAAACAGG
rnacentral:rRNA from 1 species